rnacentral:rRNA from 1 species
GACGAACGCUGGCGGCGUGCUUAACACAUGCAAGUCGAACGGAAAGGCCCGGCUUUUGUGGGGUGCUCGAGUGGCGAACGGGUGUGUAACACGGGAGUAACCUGCCCUUGACUUUGGGAUAACUUCAGGAAACUGGGGCUAAUACCGGAUAGGAGCUCCUGCUGCAGGGGGGGGGUUGGAAAGUUUCGGCGGUUGGGGAUGGACGCGGGGCUUAUCAGCUUGUUGGGGGGGUAGUUGCUUACCAAGGCUUUGACGGGUAGCCGGCCUGAGAGGGUGACCGGCCACAUUGGGCCUGAGAGACGGCCCAGAGUGCUACGGGAGACAGUGGUGGGGAAUAUGGCACAGUGGGCGGGAGCCUGAUGCAGCGACGCCGCGUGCGUGAUGACGGUCUUUGGGUGGUAAACCGCUUUCGCCUAUGACGAAGCGUGAGUGACGGUAAUGGGUAAAGAAGCACCGGCUAACUACGUG